rnacentral:rRNA from 1 species
UACGAAGGGGGCUAGCGUUGCUCGGAAUCACUGGGCGUAAAGGGUUCGUAGGCGGCGUGUCGCGUCGGGAGUGAAAGACCGGGGCUUAACCCCGGGCGUGCAGUGGAUACGGGCAGGCUGGAGGCAGGCAGGGGAGAAUGGAAUUCCCGGUGUAGCGGUGAAAUGCGCAGAUAUCGGGAGGAACACCGGUGGCGAAGGCGGUUCUCUGGGCCUGUUCUGACGCUGAGGAGCGAAAGCGUGGGGAGCGAACAGG